ensembl:lncRNA
GUUUUAUUCCUCAUGUAUGUAUAUAGUUGUGCCCAAAAGUUUGCAUACCCCUUGCAGAAUCUGCUCAAUCUUAAUACUGUUAACAAAAUAAGAUCGAUCAUAAAAAUCUGAUGUUGUUGUUUAUUUAGUUCUGUCUUGAAUAAGAUAUUUCACAUAACAUAUGUUUACAUAUAGUCCACAAGACAAGGUAAGGGCUGUAUUUAUUAAAAAAAAAUUACACCUUUCAAAAGUUUACACACGCUUGAUUAUUAACACUGUGUGUCGUUAUCUGGGUGAUCUACAACUGUGUUUGUUUUGUGAGAGUUGUUCAUGAGUCCCUUGUUUGUCCUGAUCAGUUAAACUGCCCAUUGGUCUUCAGAAAAAUCCUCCAGGUCCUGCACAUUCAUUGCUUUUCCAGCAUCUUCUGCAUAUUUGAGCCCUUUCCAACAGCGGCUAUAUGAUGUUCAGAUCCAUCUUUUCACACUCAGGACAGCUGAGGGACUCGUACACAACUAUUACAAAAGAUGCCAGUUCAGACGACGAGCCCUUGGUGAGGAAAGUGAAAGCAGCGAAGGUGAAGGAUAAGUUUAGAAAGAGAGCUAACGGAGAAGAGGACACAGUCAAACAAGACAGAGAGCUGAGCGAGGAGGACGAGCGUCCACACUGAGAGCCUGGCAGUAGUCACACACAACACAACACGUCUCGCACACGAAUUUAACAGAAGAAACGAGAAGAGGACUCGCUUGUUUCACCGUUCUGUGGAUCAGUAGUUCUGUGCUCAUUCCUUUAUUUAUGUAUAGGAAUAACGUCGCAUUUUCUGAACUCCUAAACCCCGAAACGUGAAUCCCUUUCACUCCAUAACACAUUGAAAAGCUUGAAGUAGUUUCUUUUAUAUUGUUUUAGCAUUUUAAAUUUUGUAUGGUCUUAACCAGGCUUCGGCCUUUUACAUCGUGUACGCUGAUGGUUUUUGAUUUGUAUUUUAAAACAAACAAAAAAAAGUCACUAAAUGUUAUUUACAUAGUUUCUAGGAAGGAAAGUGAAAUGAAAUGUGUUUUUUGAUAAUAUUGACGUGUACACAAGUAUAAACGCAGUGGUGUGAGAGAUAAAUGUGGAGAACGCUGUACAGUAGUUUUCUUUUUGUUUUUUGAUGACCGUUGUUUAGUUUCUUGUGAUUUAAUGUGAUUUUACCAGAUCAGAUUGUUGGAAUUCCCAACAAAUGAAAUAUUCCCGCUGUCAAUACAAUCUAAAGGCUUAAAAAAAUAAAUUACAUCAGUGACUUUGUAAUGAAAAUUGUAGGAACUCUGUGGUUAUUGCCUCUCACCGCUUUUUUCUUUACCGAACCAUACCAUUUUGUCACUCGGCUCUAAUAUAAAUGUCAAGCUUUAGCAAAAAGCUAUAUACAGUCCCCUUCGACACUAUUGGAAAGAAAAGGAAAAUUCAUUUGUUUUUGCUGUAGACUUAAGACAUUUGGGUUUGAGGUCAAAAGAUGAAUAUGAGAAGAGAGUUUUGAAUUUUAGCUUUUAUUUCCUGAUAUUUAUAUGUAAAUGUCUUCAACAAUAUAGAACACAGCACACUUUAUAUCAGAUUACAAAAUUUUGUAGGUGAGCAAAAAAUACUGGAACAUGUGACUGACAGGUGUUUCCUUGUUACCCAGGUGUGUCCUGUUAGAUUGAUU